UGGGGAAUAUUGCACAAUGGGCGCAAGCCUGAUGCAGCCAUGCCGCGUGUAUGAAGAAGGCCUUCGGGUUGUAAAGUACUUUCAGCGGGGAGGAAGGCGUUGUGGUUAAUAACCACAGCGAUUGACGUUACCCGCAGAAGAAGCACCGGCUAACUCCGUGCCAGCAGCCGCGGUAAUACGGAGGGUGCAAGCGUUAAUCGGAAUUACUGGGCGUAAAGCGCACGCAGGCGGUCUGUUAAGUCAGAUGUGAAAUCCCCGGGCUCAACCUGGGAACUGCAUUUGAAACUGGCAGGCUUGAGUCUCGUAGAGGGGGGUAGAAUUCCAGGUGUAGCGGUGAAAUGCGUAGAGAUCUGGAGGAAUACCUGUGGCGAAGGCGGCCCCCUGGACGAAGACUGACGCUCAGGUGCGAAAGCGUGGGGAGCAAACA
rnacentral:rRNA from 1 species